rnacentral:rRNA from 1 species
CAGUCGCCACGGGAAUACGUAGGUGGCAAGCGUUGUCCGGAAUUAUUGGGCGUAAAGGGCUCGCAGGCGGUUUCUUAAGUCUGAUGUGAAAGCCCCCGGCUCAACCGGGGCGGGUCAUUGGAAACUGGGAAACUUGAGUGCAGAAGAGGAGAGUGGAAUUCCACGUGUAGCGGUGAAAUGCGUAGAGAUGUGGAGGAACACCAGUGGCGAAGGCGACUCUCUGGUCUGUAACUGACGCUGAGGAGCGAAAGCGUGGGGAGCGAACAGGAUUAGAGACCCCCGUAGUCCCUGUCUCUUAUAC